GAUGAACGCUGGCGGCGUGCUUAACACAUGCAAGUCGAACGAGAGCGUAGAGAAAGCUUGCUUUUUCUACAAUCUAGUGGCAAACGGGUGAGUAACGCGUAAACAACCUGCCUUACGGAGGGGGACAACAGCUGGAAACGUCAGCUAAUACCGAAUACGUUCCGAAAGUCGCAUGACUAUCGGAAGUAAGGAUGGCGUCUAUUUAUAAGCUAUCGCCGGAGGUGGGGUGUGCGUCUGAUUAGCUAGUUGGGGGGGUAACGGCCCAGCAAGGCGACGAUCAGUAGGCGGACUGAGAGGAUGAUCGGCAACAGUGGAGAGGGGACGCGGUGCCGCACUGUAAGGGAGGCAGCGGUGGGACUACUUCCGCAAUGGGCGAGGGGGUAACGGAGGAAAGGCGCGUGAGUGUGAAGGACCUUCGGGUUGUGGAGGUCUGUUAUACGGGACGAGUAAUCUUGUGGUUAAGACGCAGGAGAAGUGACGGUACCGUAAGAGAAAGCCACGGCUAACUACGUG
rnacentral:rRNA from 1 species